rnacentral:tRNA from 1 species
GGAUUGUGGCUCAGUGGUGGAGCGCUCGCCUAGCACGGGAGGUACCCGGGUUCGAUCCUCAGCACCA